UAAUACUCCAGGUGACGCAUUAAUUCAUUUAUUUAUUUUUAUUUUAUAUAAUAUCUAUUUACUAGUGUUAACCAGUUGAAUAAUUUUGUUUUUAAUUUAUUAUUUUAUUGUCAGACAGAAAAGUUCGAUUGACAGUUUCGGCAAUAAAAUUGCAUAUGAUCAAACUCUAACGACCGUUGGAAUCUUGAUUAAUGAUAAUAUCGAUAGUUAAUACUAGAUACUAAACUUGUAGUUUGUAAAGCUCGUGCAUCACGAUACUUUCAAGUUUGACACGUCAUUAUGUCAUAAUGAACAUAAAUCCGAAAAUAUUAUUAUGAACACCGUAAAAAAAGUAAAAGGAAAUUCAGCCACUCUUGUUGAGUGAAAAAAACGCUCGCGUAAAUAUUAGUUACAAUAAUAAAUCCUAAAACUAAAUCCUAGAAAACUUGUGGAGACAAUGAUCGAAAACUACUAUACGUCCCAUUUGUUUUUCGCAGCACUAACAACUGUAAUGACUUAUCGAUUUUUCAGUAUUUUUACCUUUAUACUCGUUUUUAGUAGUGAAGUGUUUUUACCAUACCAAAAUAUACGAAGAUUCAUGGAAAACGGUUUAGGUGUUCCAUCUUUGGUGUUCGUUAUGCGAUGUCACCUAACAUCUCACCUUUCAAAACGUAUGUAAUAUGUAUAAUGAAUUUAAAUAAAAGCAAAUCAUAUUAUAUUUGCAUAUUAUUCCAUGUAGA